AAUUCCUAUUUAUUCUGGAAUCUUUCAAGAAAGAAAGAGAGGAAAGGCUCCUUUGGGGAGAAGCCACACCCACGUGUCUGGGCACAGUUUUGCAGGAAGAGUCUUUUUUUGCCAACAAUGCCAUCAGCUUGGGGAUUUGGAGCGCUGCCCUCCUCCUUGUUCUGCAUCUCCUCGCUGCUCCCUCAUUUCCACUGCUGAUUACUCUUCUGCCAGCAGUGUGCACUUACAGUCAAGUGCUAACCAUUACGGGAACAUUCUUUCACCUCUCUGCCCUUCUGCUAAUCCACUGGAUUGGUAGGACUCCAGGCCUCUCCAGGCUGCCUCCCCAGCUUGGGUUACGAGGCUAAGAAACAUUAGCGUGAUGGAACUGAAGCCAGGGGUGAAUAGCCAACAGUAGUGCAUUUUCCCAUAGGUGUAAAUGCAUGCGUUCAUUCAUUCACUCACUUACUCCUUCAUUCAUUCAACAAACAGCUAUGAAGCAUCUACUAACUGCCAACCCAUGUGCCAAGGGAUCUAGCAAUGAACAAGAUUCAAAUGUCAAAUAAAAAUGUUCAAAUACCAAUUAAAAUUUUCCCUUGGGGGGUGACAAUAUGUUGUUGGCAAAUCAAGGAUGGACCCUACUGAAGUUGUAAGGUCUCGGUGGGUGGUAGACUCUCACAGUAUCUUACUGUUUCCUGAGGACAGUCAGUCCAUGCCACAUGUUCUGAUUGACUUAUUUCGACUCCACUGAGCUGCCCCCUUCAGUUACGUACAAAUUGCUCAAUGUCACCACAGCUGGGUUUACACCUCGAGAGGCCCCAAGCCCUGACAACACCAUAGGACCCCCCCAAAAAUGGGAUUCUAAGUGAAAACAAGGUUAAACCACAAAGUAAGUAUAAGUCCAACCCAUUUCUGAUUUUUCCCAUGAUGACUACAUUGAUGAUUUUAUUGUCAAAAAUGUCCCCAUCUCUCUCUCUUUUCUUGGGGGAAGGGAGCGGGGUUGGGAGCACAUUCCCAGCGUUGCUGAAGCCUCAAUUGGUGUCGUCUGUCUGCUGAGUCAUCCCUCACUGGGCAGGGCUCCAGUUUCGAGCCAGAAGGCGUUUUGAACCCCUGCUGUUGAUGACCUUCUCCUACUCCCUAGCCAACCUCCGUUCCAGCUUCUGCCCAUGACGCUCCUCUCUGCCUCUCCCGCUCUCCUCCUUCCUGCCAAAUGUCAGCUGCUCUUUGAGACACACAGCACAUCUUUAAGUGGAUUCACAGCUGUCCGUGAAGACAGGAAAAGCCAUUCAACAUUCAAUCAAUUCUAUAAAACAUUUAUGGACCUCUGUGCCUCCUGGAAAUCAUCGCAGACAUUUAAUGAGAGGCAGUCCUGUGAGGCUCGGAGCACGGCUGCUGGACUCCGAACACAGGGGUGAAUUCCAGCUCCGCCACCUAUAAACUGGGUGAUACUGGCAAGAAGGGACCGAAGCUCUUUGGGUCUCACCUGCUUCCUCACUUGUAAAAUGGGGACUUUUUACAAAAGUAAAAGUAAUGGGACCGUCCUCAUUCGGAUGGGAGGAUGGAAUGUCAAGUGCUGAGAACAGCGCCUGGCGCAGAGGAAGCACGAUCUAAGAGUGGCCAUCGUUACAGAAAUAUUAGCUACUGUAGGAUCUAUGAUCUGGUUCCUGAGGAAAUGAUGCAGCGUUUUCAUGAAAGGUUAGGAGUUUUAAGCACACCAGGUUAUGAUUUACCUGGAAAUCUUUUAACUAAUAGAACAGCUAAGAUUUGAUUAGAUAUUCACAAAAUUCCUUCCCAAACAUGUCGGCAAAAAACUGCUGGCGGACAGCAAUCUGGAACGCACAGCCUCGUCUGCGCUGGACACGGAAGAAAAAUUGGGCUCAGAGGAGGAAACGGACUAAAAGGAACUGCAAGGCAUUCCCUACAGGCUGGGCGAGCCGACAGCAGGGAAGACCAAGCAGCCGUCAAGACACAGGCAGGGAAGAAAGAUGCCACUGGUGUUUAUGGAGAAACAGCAAACUGUACAUGGGCUGUUUUCUCACUGUUCAGCUGAUGUAGAUGGAUGUAAACCAUGUGUCACACGACUGACCACUAUUAAUCUUUCAGCGGCCUUUCCAGGGGAAGUCCUACCAGAUUCAGAAAGGUCAAGGAACUUGCCCAAGGUCACACAGCAACAAAUUCCAAGUAUUCUCAUGAAGCCAGGAAGUGGAGACUGUAAAAGGCCAGUACACUAGAAUACACUGAGUGUUAAGUGAGUGGUGUAGGAAAGGCCCAUCGUCUGGGGUAGUUCCAAUGUGAUUACGAUGCCAUGAUGAUAAUCGCCAUAAGAAUGGCUAAUAUUUAGAGAGUACUUGUGCCAGAUGGCACUCCAAGCAUUGUACUUAUGUGAAUUCAUUUAAUCCUCACAGCAAGCCAAUGGGUUGACACUGUUAUUAUUAUUCCCAUUUUAUGGGUGAAGAAACUGAGGCCCAAAGAGGUGAAGCAACUUGUUCAAGUCAAACAGCUGGAGACAGAUAACACCAGAUGUUUAUUCUUGAGAACACGCUUUAGGCUCACGUAGAAAACCUCCUCCGUAGAACUAACUUUUCCUACAAGGGGCGAUAGGUUGACGCGGUCCCCGACAGAUAUGUCCACGUCCGAAUUCCUAGAUCGUGUGAAUGACAUCUCAUUUGGACGAAGGGUCUUUGCCGAUGGGACGAAGGGUCUUGAGAUGAGAAGAUCAUCCUGGACUCCCAGGGUGGGCCCGAAAUCCAAUGACAAGUGUCUUUAUACGAGAGACAGAAGAUGAGGUGGCAACGUGAAGACAGAGUGGAGAGAUGUGGCCCCACGUCGAAGCAGCCAGCAACCACGAGAAGCUGGACGAGGCAAAGAGCGCAUUCGCCCCUCGAGCCUGCAGACACCUGGAUGGCAUACUUCUGGCGUCCAGAACGGCAAGAGGAUGCAGUGCUGUUGUUCUAAGCCCAUCUGGUUUGCAGUAAUUCGUUAUGGCAGCCCCAGGAAAGUCAUGGGGAAGGUAUGGCCUGUAUCAGGGGUUCAGGCUAAUCUUCAGGCCUGGAUGUCUGGGUGGAAGCAGUGGGAGGACGGAGUGCCAUGUUAGUGGCACGGGAAACCUGGGGGAAGGUCCCCAUCUGGGGGCAGGUGGACUCGCAGUCAACAUAAUGAGGCAGUUUUCCAGCCAGGAGAGCUGCCUAGCUGUGUGUGCACUCCUCGUCAUGUACUGAGCUGCCCAUCACAGGGAGUAAUCUUGCCCCAUUGGGAAGCCAACCACACUCGCAUGUUCUACUACGGAAGGAGGCCAGGGCCAGGCAGGCGGCCAGCUCUCAGAAACUCUCGCUCACAGAAUCAAUGAACACAAGUCACGGGAUGGCUCAGAAAGCGGUUUUCCUUUAAAGGUUUUCAUUCAUUGGAGUAUUUCGGCAGAGUUUUCCAGGAAGCAGAAAGCAACAAUCUUUCUUGUCCGUUUCUGGAGCUGUCUGCUCCUUCCCACCCUCUCUGCAUGGACAUCUGCAGUAAGACAGCUGGACAGCUGGGACCCUGAGCGAGUCACACGUCACUCAUACGAGCUGUUAUUCCGUGUGCCAGAGCCGACCUUGAAGACCAUUCCACGGCCCCCGGGGAGCCUGUAGACACCAAGCACAUCCCUCGCUCACCAUGCUUCUAGAAACAACCUCCCUUGUACUGCCCUGGCCUGCGCAGGUAUUUUCACAGUCAGGAAUCAAAACCCUGGGCUACCUAAAUAUAUCAAAACAUCUAAAGUCGGAGCAGAACCUUUAGCAUUCUCUCCUCCAGGGUUGAUAAUUAAAAUAGUUUCUAACCAGUAAGACGUGGUCACUGACCAGUCAGAAGAAAUGCUGGUGGCGACCCCAGGUGCAGAGAGGAAAUCUCUGGGUCCCGGCCCAGUGUGCCAGCUUCCCACUGCCACACACCUGUGAGGAACACCGGGGCUUCCACUGCGCUGUCGAUAGACUCUCCUCACCUUAUGCAAUAUGGAAAAAGAGGGCGAGGGGUGAGAGAAAGAAGAGAAAAAAAGCAAGUCCGGUGAAAUGUCUAAAACUUGAACGUGAGAUAAAGAGAGCUCUUCCAUAAGUCAAGGGAUCUUUUGUACACAAAGUAUCACCUGCAUGGGACACUGGCCUCUUCUACAUCAUCAUUGUUCUCUGGAAUUGAACAAGAUAGUUCUGGCUCUUAAUUUGCUGCCAGACCCUUCGGGGAAGCAGACAAGCAAAUCACUGACUACAGUCCAGUCUAAGAAGUGUUUCUGUGAUGAAAAUAAUAAUACUAGUUAUAGUAAUGAUACGUGGCAGACAUGCUAAGCACCUCAUAUGGACCAUCUUACUGAAUAUUCACGACAACCCUAUGAAAUAGAGGCUCAUAUCGGCCUCCUUCUGCAAAUGAGGAAACUGAGGCACAGCAAAGGCAAACCACUUGCAGACUCAAGAUUUCCAUCAAGCCGCCUGGCUCUUACCCCCCGCCCCCUGCAUCCCUUGGUUUGGCUCAUGGGAGCACAAAACCGCAGUGUCCAAUCAGAGUAGAGAUCACGAGAGGCUUCCUGGAGGAGGGGAUGGAUGCAGGCCAGCAGACCAGAUGUAAGCUAAGGGGAAAGAUCCUCUGCCCUCACCCGGUGUUAAGGAGAAAGAUGAAACUGGCCAUUCACCACUGUUUCGAUUCAAGCCUUCCAAGCCAGUGAUUAUCUUGUCCUCUCCAUACACGGUCUCAGGGCUCUCUCAUCCGCCAUCGCCUUCAGAAGGCAGGGCAGGAAAACCAGCCUGGUUUUGGGGUAAUCCAACAUGGGAAGUCAAAGUAACUGAAAAGGCUGAGGGAGAAACACUAAGCUGGGAGUGUGUGUAUGUGUGUGUGUGUGUACGUGUGUGUGGUGUACGUGUGUGCGAGAUCCAUGAAGGAGGCCGAGUUGCGGAGCCAGGGGAGAGGGAAGCAGUCCAUGGAGAGACUGGAAGGGAAAAGGGAGGAGGGAGGAAUGACCGCUCUGGCCUAGGGCGACGGCAGGGCAGACACUGCUUGUAGAUCCUGAGCCUUGGUUCUGGGCACUGUCUCUGCCGCAGGCCCCUCGAGAGGGUCUCCCUUAGCAGCCCAAAGACAGAGGGGAGUCAGCAGGCCAAGGGGGCCUUCUUUGGGCUGUUGCGGCCGGAGUGCACCUGGCCAGGGGACACCCACCUCCUUUGUCUCCCUGUUAGGUCAGUAAGACCUCAGCAAGCUGAGUGCAAAGGACAGCUGCUUCCAACUUCUUUGCAAGCUUCCACCACUGUCCAGCUAUUGGCUCAUUUGGGUUUUAGGAAAGGAAGGAGAGCGAGAGAAACUCAGAUUUAUCAAGUGCCUCUUGCUGCGAGAGGAUGCUUGUGUGUGUGUGCGUGUGUGUGUGUGUAUGUACGUAUGUAUUCUCUCUCUCUCUCUCAGCUAACAUUGGUUGCAUUGAGCACUCUCUACGUGCCAGGCAUGAGCACUUUAUAUGCAUUAACUCAUUUUGUCCUCUCAUGACCUUUUGAGGACUCCCUGUCAUCCCUAACUUAAAGAUAAGUUAACUCAGAACAAAGAAGCUAAGAUCACAGAAUGAGAAGUGGCAGAGGGGGGAUUUGAACCCAGGUCGUCUGAUUUCCAGAGCAAUAAAGUAGGAGCUGUUAUCACAACCAUUUUACAGACAAAACAUAGAGUUCCAGAGAAGCUGAGAGCUGCGCCCAGGGUCAUACAGCUAGUUGGCAGAGCAUGGCUUGACCUCAGGGUCAGCCUGGAUGCAAGGCCCACGCUCUCUGACCUCUACUCUGCUGCUCCAGGUGUUAGAAACACUCACAGGCCAGCACUGGAAGGGAAAGCAGUCUGCAAACAGAAGUCUGGCCUGGAACGAGAAGGUGCCCAAUUAAUGUUUACAGAGAAGGAACAAAACCUUCGCAGAUGCGCCCAGGUCUGGGGGCUGCAUUCAGAACCCAGCCUCAGGGGCAGCGGAAGGACUCAGAAGCAUCCUUUUCAGAGAAAAAAAAAAUAAUCAUUUGCACCAUAUCUGAAAGCUGGAGGGGGAAUGGAUUCAAAACAAGCAAAGCUCUCCAAAUAGCGAUAAAUACCUUAAAUUACCCAGCAAGUUUAAAAGCCUUCAUGCUGCUCUUUUUCCCAGCACAGAAACAGGCUCCUGAUUGUGGCUGUUGAGAAUGGAACAUUCAGGAGGGCGUGGAGCCAGAGGGACAGGAGAAGGGGAGGGAGGGACGGGGGGAGGAAGAAGGCUGCGGGUGCCCAGGCCCCCUCGGCCCAGCUGGCUGGCAAGAGACAGAGCGGGCAAUUGUGAGGCUCGCGCUUGCAGAGGGGUGCACGGGUCCAAGGCGGCUGGACCUGGGAACCUCCUUAGUUCCUGGGGGCAAUUUUCCUUGCCAUAGAAAUGGGGAGAGGGAAAAGUCAGGGCUACAAUGGCUGCCUGAGGACACCCUCAUUUCAGGAACCUAGCAUUGCCUGGGGCUUCUCUAUGCUCUUAUAGGAAACAACUGUAUUGACUCCAAAGAGAACAGUUCAUGGAAGGCUGUAAAUUCGCAGAAGCCAGUUCCCUCCGAAAAGCAAGGGUCUGGGCUGAGUUCUCCCUCUUCCCCCAUGAGCCCCACCCCUAGGGGGCUGCUGCCAUCAGACUGGUAUGAGUUAGUGCCAUUUGCGGAGCCUGCAUUCAGGGCCCACUUGUGCGGCCAGCUGCAGCUCCUGGACCAGGCAAUCGCGGUCGUUCAGCGGGGCUGACUCCCCGGCAGGUCACUAUGGCGCGUCCUGUGCUGUCUCAUGGUGAGGAGCCCGGUGUCUGGGGGAGCGGUUCUGAACACCUGUGACCUUAGAGAAGUUACAUAAACGCCUUGUGUCUUUGUUUUCACAUAGGCAAAAUGCGGAUAAUGAUAGAUAACCUACUACCUAGGGUUGUUACGAAGAUUAAAUUAGUUAAGAGACAUAAAGUUCUUACCGCUUACUGGGGGCUUACUCUGUACCAGGCACUUCCUAAGACUUGACAGGUAUUAUCUCAGUUAAUCUCUAUAUGAGCUAAGGGGGGGUGCUAACGUUGCCCUCAUUUUCUUGUUGAGUAAACUGACUUCCAGGGAAAUUCAGUCAUUGGCUCAAGGUCAAUGAUGAAUGGUUGCGGGGGGGGGGGGGGAGGUGGGGAUGCCGGGCUUGGGACUCAAGUAUUCUGACUCCAGCUCCUAUGGGUUGGUUGUCCCGGCUACACAGCCUCCCAAAGAGAAGACCCCGUGAAUCCAGUUCCUUUAGAAUCAGUAGUUUCAACCCUGAUUGAGCACGCAAAUCACCUCAAGCGAUUUUAAAAAAUACGAGCUCCUGGGCCCCCACCUUCAGAGAUCCUGACUCGUAGGUCAGGGCAUCUCAGGCGUUUGAAAAGCCCUUCAGGGGAUGUGGAUAUGCUCCCACAAUAACCAGGAUCCCCUGAGCCAGGGGCGGCGCUGGGACGCUGACGUGCCUCAUUCAAUUCUCAGGGCCUUUUAAAGCAGGACCAUGACUGCCCCUGCUUCACAGAUGAGGAAACUGAGGCCCAGAGCAGUUUGUGAUGCCCAUAAAUGAGUAGGAAGCAGAGCCUGGGUCGACGCUGGAGCUCCAACACCCUGCUUUGGAUGGAAACAGGGAUGAAGAGGUCAGGGCCGCGGGGCCCACACCACUCUGUCUUCCACUGGGUUCCUUCCAAAAGAAGAGCGAAAUUCUGCCUCUGGUAGAGAGGCAAGGGAAGGCCUGGCAUGAAACUCCAAGGGUUGAGAGCAUGUGUGUUCAUUACUGCACGACAUUUAUCUGGAGGCAGACCAGUGUUCUAGCAAGCCCCACGGAAAACACAGCCUUGGCGUGCGAUCUAUGAGCUGGAGGACCCUUGCGAGGUAAAGCCCCAAGUCACGGGUGCAUGACUUUCACAUCUUAUUACAAAAAUAGUGGUCGGGGCGGGAACACCUGCAGGCCUCCGUGGCACGAAGAUGCUGUCACCGUCUCAGGAGGGAGGCUGGAAGAGCUCGAAUGUUUACGGUCAAUAGUUUAGGCCAAACGACCGUUAAGAACUAGAGACUCUGCUGGACCAAACUCCCCGAACUGAAUGAUCCUUGUGAACGAGUCAGGGCCACUUUCCUCUCAAAAUAUAGUCACAUCAUGUAACACGAGUUCAAUCAAUGAAAACGGCCACGUUCAUUUAGAAACUGUCAGGUCAAAGGCAUGUUUCAUGCAACCAGCACUUUGAAGGCAUCUCCUCUUUGCUGGGCCCCAUGCCAGCCGCUGGCAGAAGGAAUAUGACCAAGAGAGUGCUCGCCAGCUACCCUCGGCACGGUUUUGGAGAACAGGAUGGGGCAACAGUGGUCGUUCUGGCUCUGUCCAGACCCCACCACACAGAGGGCUGGAGAAUGUGGACACGGGGGUUAUCUGACGUCGCCCUGCCUCUCUGAGGAGGGUCCCUGACCCCAGCCUACUAUAAUGCACUGGGCUCCUCUCUCUGCCGCUCCUUCUCUCUUUUCCCUUUCCUCCUCCCUUUCCUUCUUCGUCUAAUCAAGAAACAUUUGUUGGCAACCCAUUGUAUUUCACAGCAAAAUCUGUAUUUCAGGCAUGUUGAGCCUUGAAUACUGAAUCUGAAUACCAAUGGAGCAGGACGCCCAUAUUAUUCCAUUCCAUCUUAUUUGUCCAUAAUCACACCCUCUUGGAUUCAACAUGCAGAUCGAUGCAAAUGAGUUCCAAAAAUGCAGAGUCCGAAGAACAACAGAAGGCAAUGGGAUAGUCUUAUCUUAAUAAAAUGUCCCCUCAGCAUGGCAGAAUUCAAGGCAGAGGGGCCUGCGAAGAUCGGCUUGUGCUUCACAAUAACCCCGGAUCUUCUGUAUUGCAGUUUGGAAAAAACACCCCCAAAUUUCCUUUAUUAAAUUUCUCUGUUCUUGCCUCCA